rnacentral:lncRNA from 1 species
CUCGCCGGGCAGGUCCCUGUUCUUGAAAGGAGACAGCUCUCCGGUCCUCGCUCCGAGCCGGCUCCUUCCGUUGGCAAAAUCCUGACUCAUUACAUAAAAAGAUCACCCUGCCAGGCGCCCUGAAACAUUUCUUCAUCACGGUCACGCCACAAGCUAAACAAGAGGCCACAUCAAGGGGAGGGGGAGAGGGGGGAAGCGGAGAGCAAAAAAAAAAAAAAUCCUGAGGGUUUUUUUCCUUCAUUAAGAUCCUCUUCCUUGAAAAAAGGAAAAAAAAAAAAGUGCAGGGAAAAAAAAAAACAACCAAAAAAACAAAGAGCAGCAGCCGGGAAAAAAAAAACUAGAGAAGAUUCACUCAUUGUUGCCACAAAGACACCUCUCCCCUUCCCACUCCUUCUCCAUGCUCAUUCCUCCAACAGUGCUACAAAGACGUGCAGUCUGCGCCGGGAGUUGUGAGCCCGAGCCGUGAGCUCCUCAACUCCGCGGGGGCCGUGCCAGGAGACCCGGGGCGCACAGUCCUCUGCGAGGAGGUGUGCACUUGUCUUGGAAGGGGCUCAAGAAUGAUGCAGUAGAUGGCAGAAUGGCCCUGCAGUCCUUUUUCUGCACAGAAGACUGGAGACUCACAGAUAUGCAGUGUGCCUUCUUAUCACAAACAGUACAUUCUGAUCCUGGUGUUUAGGAUUUGCACUGAGCAGCUUCUCUGUUGCUUUCCCUGGUGUUAUGUAGUGGCAGACAAAGCUGUUCAACAGACAAAGUGUUCACUGAGAAAUUAUGGUUGUCCUGUCAGCACUGUCCCCUGCAACUUGAUCUCAUCCUACAAACAUCUUUUAUUGAGGGCACUGGGACUAUUCUUGCAUAGAUGCUUGCAGGAUUGUAGUACACAACACUAUUAAUUAAAACCUUUCUACUUCCUCAAACUUUUCUAGUAUGCUGAGAUACUGGAUUCAAUGAUCUAACAAAUAUCCUCAAACACAAAGCAAAAUAGGAUAUUUACUUCCAUUAUAAUAAUCUCUUGUUUGAAGACCACUGUGUUCCCCUCUGUUCACAAAAAUAAGCUAUAUAAAGUUAAAAGAGUAUACAAAUAACUGUCUGAUAUACACAUUAAAACCUAGCUAUUAAAUCCAGAGCAUUGCUAUAGAAAAUUCAGUGUUCUCAAUAUUACCUGGCAUUAGCUACAGUGGAUUUCUUGCAGUUACACUUAAUAUCCCUUUGGAUGCAGGUAAAUUCCUCCCUCAUGAUUAAAGAAUGGGGGAAGUGUUUUAAAAUCCACAAAAGCAAAAUAUAAAAACAAUUUGAACAAAUUAAGAGACUAGAGAUAUGAAAUUUCACUGAACCAGCCAGUGCUUCUAUUUGCCUUUGCCCUCACAAUCAGUUCUGAACCUGGCUCAGGCUUUCCACAGGAACAAUGAAGUGCAGUGAUACCUCCCCUCCCCCAGCCAUUUGCUCACUGGGUCAAUACAGAGAACUGACAUCUCACUCUCAGUUUAGUCAGGUUGUGUUGCUCAUUUAAGCAUUACAAAGUCAGAGAUGUAACUUCUCUCUCAAAUAUUUGUGAUACCUUGGGGUACUUUUAAUCACGAAGUACAAUCAUCCUUUCUUGACUUGUGAAAUACAGCUUCCAGAGGGCCCUGAUCUGCAUUACUGAUGUAUGCAUAAAGUGAUUCACUGUUGUAAACUUGAAAAUCAAUAAGGAAUUAGCUUCAAGCAUUUGUUCUUCCCAACAUUACUGUCUUAGUUUAUGUUAACUGCAAUCAGAAUGGUUUAAUAAUGGACCUCUGCUGUAGAGAGACUUGCAGGUU